rnacentral:rRNA from 1 species
GAUGAACGCUGGCGGCGUGCCUAAUACAUGCAAGUCGAGCGAACAGACGAGGAGCUUGCUCCUCUGACGUUAGCGGCGGACGGGUGAGUAACACGUGGAUAACCUACCUAUCAGACUGGGAUAAAUUCGGGAAACCGGAGCUAAUACCGGAUAAUAUAUUGAACCGCAUGGUUCAAUAGUGAAAGACGGUUUUGCUGUCACUUAUAGAUGGAUCCGCGCCGCAUUAGCUAGUUGGUAAGGUAACGGCUUACCAAGGCAACGAUGCGUAGCCGACCUGAGAGGGGGAUCGGCCACACUGGAAAUGAGACACGGUCCAGACUCCUACGGGAGGCAGCAGUAGGGAAUCUUCCGCAAUGGGCGAAAGCUUGACGGAGCAACGCCGCGUGAGUGAUGAAGGUCUUCGGAUCGUAAAACUCUGUUAUUAGGGAAGAACAAAUGUGUAAGUAACUAUGCACGUCUUGACGGUACCUAAUCAGAAAGCCACGGCUAACUACGUG